GAAUGUUUUGGUUGAUGUCGAGAGUUGUCUGUGGGGGUUUUACACCAACAUAAUUCUACUGGGAAAUAGUGCUAAAAAGGAAAUAUUAAAAACA
rnacentral:misc_RNA from 1 species